GGACAUUUUUUGAAGAACCUCCAUAUAAUGAAGUAGGAAUGAUACAAAGAAGAUAAGCAUGGCCUCUGCACAAGGAUGACACACAAAAAUCAUGAUGCUUAGGCAUAAUUU